CCUUCAAAAAUAGCAAAAUGGUCGAGUAUUUAUGCAGCAGAUAGCAGUAGUUUGCGUGAAGAAACCUAUCCGCGUAUUGCCUUCCUGUUUUUGUUCGUCUCUCUCGAACACGCGUUGAUACUGCGCCACUCUUCUCAGGUUGGGCUCCUCGUGCAUAUCUCAACAUGGUGGCAGAGUCGCAGAGUGAAAACCGAGCAUCAAUGAACAAUGGAAGCAAUCUAACUGCAAGAGAGUCGGAGUUUGAGACCGUGCAAGUCUGAUAUAUCAAGUACAAAAGAGGCUUAUCCAUCUAUUAAAGGGUGCAGAUUUUGACAAAUUCUACUUUUGUUAUAGGCAAGCACUCCUAUUAUACUGUGAACUAUGACUGCUGCUAGUUCUUUCUACUUGCUGAAUUCUAUAAAAUAA